GAUCCUGGCUCAGGGUGAACGCUGGCGGCGUGCCUAAGACAUGCAAGUCGGGCGGGCCAUGGGGUUUUACUCCGUGGUCAGCGGCGGACGGGUGAGUAACGCGUGGGUGACCUACCCGGAAGUGUGGGACAACCCGGGGAAACUCGGGCUAAUCCCGCAUGUGGUCAUGUCCUGUGGGGCAUGAUUAAAGGGCGAGAGUCCGCUUCCGGAUGGGCCCGCGUCCCAUCAACUAGUUGGUGGGGUAAAGGCCCACCAAGGCGACGACGGGUAG
rnacentral:rRNA from 1 species